UACGUAGGGUGCAAGCGUUGUCCGGAAUUAUUGGGCGUAAAGAGCUCGUAGGCGGCUUGUCACGUCGGGUGUGAAAGCCCGGGGCUUAACCCCGGGUCUGCAUUCGAUACGGGCUGGCUGGAGUGUGGUAGGGGAGAUCGGAAUUCCUGGUGUAGCGGUGAAAUGCGCAGAUAUCAGGAGGAACACCGGUGGCGAAGGCGGGUCUCUGGGCCAAUACUGACGCUGAGGAGCGAAAGCGUGGGGAGCGAACAGG
rnacentral:rRNA from 1 species